rnacentral:lncRNA from 1 species
CGGUGCCGCUGAUGAUGCAAUGAGUUUCAUUCGGCUGGAGAUAUAUAUCAUAUAUCUAUAUGAGAUCUGUCUUUCGUCCAAAGUGAGUAAACUUCCAUGGCAUAAGAGGAAAAAUUAGAGUUUAAGCCUGCCCGCAUGCCUAUUUAUGGCUAUAACGUUCCAGGAAGUGGUUGACAAUGAACUACUUCCUUUCACUCUCGCCUUAUCCUUCGCUUCCCUCGCCCGAGACCAGAGCAAGAACCGUGACUGAUUCACCUGCUCCUUUGACGUCCAAAAGAUCGAAUCUGGGAACACACAAAAGACUCUUGAGAAUCCCAAGUGAAUAGAAAAAAGUCCUAUGUGUCUCACGCUCCAAAGUAGUUAGGCUUUUUGCGUAGAAGUCGUUCUUCUCAAGACCCCAUGGCUAUGUAUGGAUCCCUAGCAGGAAGCUUUCGCUUCUUGAACCUAUAUAAGGAUAUAACCCUAUUCCAUUUUUUUCUUUCUUUUUAUCGAGGCUUCUCGCUUCUCUGUCUUAGUGAAAGUGGGAUCACCAAGGCUCCUAAAAGCAGCCGCGAUCUUAUAGACCACCAGGCCGCCGCCUUUCUAAAGCGUUGAGUCCCGUGCUCGCUUUUCGAAGAAUAUGGAGUCCCUUGAGUAGACGCCGCCCACGCUCUAAUUACUACAAUGAAAGAUCUGCUUCAUUGCUAUGCCCUUCGACAAGGAUCUUACCUAACCCGAUUUUUCAAUGACUGCAUAACUGCCUUAACCGCAGGACUUGUGACGGGUCCUGUGGACUUCUCUUAUUAAAUUUUAACUCUUUAGUCAAGAUCGGAGAAAGAGCAUGUAAAAAGCCCGUCCUUUCUUGUGGGGUGAUCGAGAGAUGGAUUUUUUAGAGGAGUAUGGUCAUUGAACCCUUUUGAUUCGCCAGUAACGGUUCCUUACAUCAAGAAAAAUAACGGGGAUUCCCCAGGACCGGUCGAUUUAGCACAAGCAGAAAAUAAUGGGGAUUCCCUAGGACCGGUCGAUUUAGCACAAGCAUAAUCCAUUAGAACGAGACGGCUCAAAUACGUGUUGUGAUUGUUCGUGACUGGACACUAAAAAGGCAUUCAGAAACCCUCAUUAUUGAGGGCAAUGCAUUAUUUUGUUUCACUACUUGACCAGAGGAGAGGGACAACAACGACUUUCAGGUUCACCAAAAGGCGCAAGGGGGAGUAGGAACUAUGAAUACAUGAAGUCUUUCCUUUUCUAAACAUAAGGGGAUUAGAUUAAAGAAAGGGUCUAAGAGGCAACCCGCCUACAGAAUAAGUAAGCCCGACCGACGAACUGUUCGUCUGUUUGACACUAAGGAUCCCCUUCUAAACCGUUAUAAUAAUGAAUCAAGGAAAUCCUCUUUUAUCAAAUCGUCAGUGCUCACGAAUCGAUUGUGGAAGCUUAAUGAAAUUUUUUUAUCGUAGUAUAGUAACAGUCAACACAGUAGCUGUAACGUGACCAGCACUUUGUCCUUUAUAUAUAUCUAUAUAAUAAUAGCUGCAACUGCGCUGAAUAAUAAAGCCUUAUUCCCAUUUGUGAGGAAAAACCACACCUACUCUCUUCCAUUGAAUUCUAAGUAGAAGUGUACCGGUCGCUUUCAAAGUUUCUUCGGGAUACGCGAGUUGACGGUGCGGCUUUAAGAAAAAAGGAAAAAAGGCACGAAGUAGCUCGACCGUAAGGGAGAGGAAAGAGCUCGACCGUAAGGGAUAGGAAUGAACUGCAGCUGACGGGGAUAAAUGUGGAUAUCCUGUGGCAACUGAGCAGCUCUACCCGCACAUAGCUAAAUAUCCCCCUUCCACGCCUCCCUGUUGGUGAGCUCUGCCCUUAAGUGAGCCCAUCUGUUGGUCGGCCAAUAUUGGAUAGUCAACUAGCGCACUGGGUAACUCGAAUAUCUAAUAUAAGAAUAGCUGCCCCGUUCUCAAAAAGAAGCAUGGAAAGAGCUGUGAAUCAGAAAGAUAAGUUUCCCCGUUCUAAAAAAGAAGCAUGGAAAGAGCUGUGAAUCAGAAAGAUAAGUUGAAGUUGCGUAAACUCACUCUACUUAAAGGUUUUAUAGGUACUUAUUCAAGUAUGGGAUGUAAGAUGACAAGUAUGUGUGGUAAGAUGACUCUACAAACGAAGACAGAGAGUGGCUACCCCUGCGAAGGUUAAAGAGGUUAAGUUGCCUGUUCUAGAGUGGCUACCCCUACGAAGGUUAAAGAGGUUAAGUUGCCUGUUCUACUUGAAGGAAUAGGGAGAAGGUACUCGACCAACUAAUCUGUAUUGGGUAUAACGUGAUAGUAGACUCCAUAUAUCCUAUUUGAAAUAGUGCUUCCUGCCCGUGAUGAGUAAGCCACAUCCCUGUAUAUUCAUCCUAUGCUUAUCUUAUGUGACGCUUGUCCUCUACUUCUGAUGAACGAAAGCGUUCGGCUAAUCUGCUCAAGCAAGUGAGAAAUAGGACUCAUUUUUCACUACGUAAUUAGACAAGAUACUUUUUGUGGUUCCUGGAAUCCAUAGGGUCAAUAAAUGUGCCAUGUCGCCUUUGAAGGCGUAGUGUAGACUAUUUUCAUUCCACUUUCAUAUUUCUACACUGUCCUUUCGCGCUACACUAGGACGCUUAUAUCCGUUGCUUGCAUUCUUCCUUCCUCUCUAUUUGAUUUGCUUCCUUUGAAGUUUGAGCUUUGCCAUCUUUUACAUUGUCCUGUGCCCUUGUCUUUUGCUCUAUGGCAUCAAAGGAUGCGCCUACUCAGGGCGUUCAAAGCAGCGUGGUAGAUCAGGUUAUAUAAUAAGGGAAGCCUUAAGAAAGCGUCAAUUCUCGUCAAUCAGGAUCGGGGCUCAGGCUACCCAUGUACAACCUCCACAGAUUGCAAAACGGAAGGAGAACUCACUGUCCAAAUGGAGGGACAGGGGAUCGGAGAGAAGUAAACUCCGGACAUCUUUUUUCCGAAGAACUCCUCACAUGGUCAGUGAAGGUAUUCCCUACCAAGUUGAUAUACCUAAAAAAGAAAGAAAUGCACAUCCCGAAGUCGAAAAGGAUAGGGAGAUUGAAAAAGAAAAGGAUGCAAUGAUGAAUACACAGGAGGAUCAGACGAAGAAUCGCGAUCUAUGGCAAUUCUAGUUUCAACAGAAGGUCGUCAGUUCAAGUCAUCUCAUUGAUGCUCAUCACCUGUCACAACUCUCGAUAAAUGUCUUUCUUAAUUAAAGACCCGUGCAUUAAAUAUAUAAGGGAUGAGGCUUUCGAUCAAAAAAGCAGGGACUCCCAGAAGGAGAACAGAUUUACUUCGGGUGUUGUGCUCUUGCCUCCAGUUCUUCACAGGAGAGAGGGUAGCUCUGCAUCUAUUUCUGUUGAUUCCCUUGGUUUAGUCCCUUGAAGAAGGUAGGGCAGAAGGUUUAGGAUCACAAAGAGAAUCUGGAUAAGAAGAUUCGACUGAAAGGUCUGUGAUUAAAGCUUUCUUUCAAGGAAUGCAGCUACUCGGCUAACUAGGAUCGUAGUUUCACUUAAUAGGGUUUGGCGGAGAAGACAUAGAUUCCUGGAACAAAGCUAAAGGUAUUCGCUUAUAAUCAACAAUUAAUGUGGCUUUUUUCCCUCUAUUUUAUCAUGCCUCGAAGUUUACCCUUUUUUCACGUUCUCCAUACUCUAAAAGUGAGUGAAUCACUUCCAACUGAAUAAGAUGGGAUUGGAAUCCCUUUUUUGUAGAGUCCACCAUGGGAAAAUCAUACCCAAUGUGAUAGGAGUACCUAGUCCCCUGGUUAGUAGUUGUUUAGCUCUAUCUCCGCCCCGUAAUAUGGUUUAAUCGCUAAUUUUUUUUUGUUCAUGGGCCUAUUCUCUUUCUCCUUCCCUUGCUUGUUCUCGCGUAGUGGGAAGUUCUCCAUUCCGCCCUAACUUCAAUUCAAAACUAUUACUUCUCGGCCUAACUCGGACUAAUCGACUCCCCAGCCUAUCUAGGCUAGACCUGGUUGAAAGCAAUCAAGCCAAAGUGCUUCAACCGGUUGAAAGCAAUCAACCCAAAGUGCUUCAACGGCAAGAUCCGUCAAUAGCAGUGCUUAUGCCGACAUUUCUCCUUUCUUCCUUACCUGCUUUUUGAUUAGGAUUGAUUUAUCUCCGCAUCUGGUGAAUAGAACGAGUGUUAGGGGAGUAUGAAAGAACACUUCUUACUCUUUUAUUUUCUACCCGCUGCUGAAGUGACGAGGUUUUUCGAUCAAUAUUUCACCCUUCCUAUUACGGGCUUCGGUUCCUUCUGACUUGAUAUCUUCGACUCCUAUCCUGCCGGAGAUUAAGGAGCGGACACUCGCAAAGCGAUUCUGUUCAUAGUUUUAAGGGUUUAUAUUUCCGCACACUUACACAGGAAAGACUUUCUAUACUUUUUAGAAAUCCGUUCAAAUUUGCUUUAUUCAGGUGAGCUGCUUUAGCUUGAGCAAAGUUUUUUUGAUCUCGUUAAGAAAGUUUGAUUCGCUCCUACCUGUCUUUCGCCGCAGGUCAAUAUGGGAACGUACGACAAACCACUACCUAUUCACUUCUGCCGAAAUGAGAAGAUACAUAUACAUUAAUAUGGUAAAGAGCCUGUCGUGACAUAUUCAACUUAUGAAAAAAGGAGAGGGAGAGGUUUAAAUAUGCUCGACCAAUAGGGAGAGGAAGGAGAAUCGCUCAUUUUAGGGUAGGGAGUUUCUUCUUACUUAGGGCAGUUUCUUCGCCCUUCCUUAGCUCAGGGUUUCUUCGCCCUUCCUUAGCUUAGGGUAUCUUCGCCUAUUUCUUCGCCCUUUUCUGUCCUAUAUGAGAGAUCGUCCAUGCUUAGAUGCUGGUGCGCUCUCUGACUCUCGCUCGUUCUCCCGGGUGACGCCCUAAGGCCGGCCUACGACAUGAGGUAAAGGCAGUCCCUAGAAUGUGCCAUGAUCCUGCUUGCUUUGCCAGUCCCUUCCCUUCUGUCUAGUACACCUAUAUUUAUACCCUUUUUUUUCUUUUAGUAAGUCACCUACCGUUAGACCAUCCUUCCUGAGUUCUCUUCUUCCUGUCUGUUAAUGCCAGUCGGCCGUAUCGUGGAUCUUGUCUUAUUAAGUUAAAUCGUUUUAUUGACAUCUCUGUCGUAUUGAAAGACUGAAGGAAUGAAUUAGUAUAUUUAUCCCCAACGCUUCUCCUGUAGGAAGGGGGGAAUCUGUAUUAGAUCUACUAACGGAGCGACGAAGCAAGUAGUCAAAGGUGAGGCUUUGGUCCUACUAAGGCGAUAAGGCAAGAAAAGAAGGAAGGUUGUCUGCGUACCACACCUGCGGUAAUAGAAGGAAAGGUGAGUUUAAACAUAAACAAUCGUAUUGACUGCGCGUAAUCGUCCUCUUGUCGAAUUCUAAGGCAAGCGCGGGAAAGGCGAAUAGAAAG